rnacentral:tRNA from 1 species
UCCCUCCUAGUUCAAUUGGUAAACAGUCUGCCUGCAAUGCAGGAGACCCAGGUUUGAUUCCUGGGUUGGGAA